rnacentral:tRNA from 1 species
AAAAACUUAGUUAAAAUUAUAACAUUAGCUUGUCGAGCUAAAAUUAUUUAAGUAAUAGUUUUUG